rnacentral:pre_miRNA from 1 species
UGAUGUGAAAUUGACUCUAGUAGGGAGUCCGUUCCCCGCGACUCCCUAAUCGAGUCAGGUUGACUUCUUU